rnacentral:tRNA from 1 species
AGCUAAUAAGCUUAAAUAAGCCUAUGUUUUGAAAACAUAUGAUAGAAGUUAAAGUCUUCUAUUAGCUU